GAUGAACGCUGGCGGCGUGCUUAACACAUGCAAGUCGAACGAAGCACUUUAACCUGAUUCUUCGGAUGAAGGUUUUUGUGACUGAGUGGCGGACGGGUGAGUAACGCGUGGGUAACCUGCCUCAUACAGGGGGAUAACAGUUAGAAAUGACUGCUAAUACCGCAUAAGACCACAGAGCCGCAUGGCUCGGUGGGAAAAACUCCGGUGGUAUGAGAUGGACCCGCGUCUGAUUAGGUAGUUGGUGGGGUAACGGCCUACCAAGCCAACGAUCAGUAGCCGACCUGAGAGGGUGACCGGCCACAUUGGGACUGAGACACGGCCCAAACCCCUACGGGAGGCAGCAGUGGGGAAUAUUGCACAAUGGGGGAAACCCUGAUGCAGCGACGCCGCGUGAGCGAAGAAGUAUUUCGGUAUGUAAAGCUCUAUCAGCAGGGAAGAAAAUGACGGUACCUGACUAAGAAGCACCGGCUAAAUACGUG
rnacentral:rRNA from 1 species